rnacentral:rRNA from 1 species
CGCCUGUUUAUUAAAAACAUGGCUUUUUGUUUAGUCUAAGAUGAAAAGUCGGACCUGCCCAGUGAGAUAUUAAACGGUUGCGACGAGAGUUGUACUAAGGUAGCGCGAUAAUUUGUCUUUUUAUUGGGGAAUGGGAUGAAGGGUUUGACGAAGAGUGAUUGUCUCUGAAGAGAAAAGUGAAGUUUCCUUUUAAAUGAAAAGGUUUAAGUGAUAUUAAAAGACGAGAAGACCCUAUCGAGCUUGAUUAAACAAAGAAUUAAUUACCAAAAGAAAUAUUAUGUUAGUAGAUUGAGUAAAAUUCUAUUGUUAAAGUUUAGUUGGGGUAAGCUGGUUUAAAAACAAUUAAGCCAAAACGGGUGAAGAUCCUUUUUGAAAGAAAAUAGCAAAAGCUACCGUAGGGAUAACAGCGUAAUUUUUCUUGAGAGGCCUUAUUUAGGGAAAAGUUUGCGACCUCGAUGUUGGAUUAGAAAAACUCUUCGGUGUAGCCGCUGAAGAAUGUAAGACUGUUCGUCUAUUAAUUUUCUACAUGAUCUGAGUUCAGACCGG